AAAAGCAAAUAAGAGCGUAUGGAGGAUGCCUUGGCUCCUAGAGGCGAAGAAGGACGUGACAAGCUGCGAUAAGCUGCGGGGAGGUGCAAAUAACUAUAUAUCCGCAGAUUUCCGAAUGGGGCAACCCACUCAAAUAUGAGUAUUCCGCGAGGAAGGCAAACCCGGAGAACUGAAACAUCUUAGUACCCGGAGGAAAAGAAAACAAAAGUGAUUCCCCAAGUAGUGGCGAGCGAACGGGGAUUAGCCCAAACCGUACUUGUGAUUGCAAGUUCGGGGUUGUAGGACUGCGUUGUAGAUUUGUCAUGUGAAUUUGAACCGUACUGGAAAGUUGGACCGAAGAAGGUGAAAGUCCUGUAAAAGCAAGCAUGCCAAGUUUUAGCAGUAUCCUGAGUAGCGCGGGACACGAGAAACCCUGUGUGAAUCAGCCGGGACCAUCCGGCAAGGCUAAAUACUACUAGGAGACCGAUAGUGAACCAGUACCGUGAGGGAAAGGUGAAAAGAACCCCUAUUAGGGGAGUGAAAUAGAACCUGAAACCGUACGCUUACAAGCGGUCGGAGCCACGUAAGUGGUGACGGCGUGCCUUUUGCAUAAUGAGCCUACGAGUUAGUCGUCUCUGGCGAGGAUAAGUGCUUCAGGCAUGCAUCCGAAGCGAAAGCGAGUCUGAACAGGGCGUUCAGUCAGAGGCGCUAGACGCGAAACCUUAGUGAUCUACCCAUGGCCAGGGUGAAGUCUCGGUAACACGAGAUGGAGGCCCGAACCAGUUGACGUUGAAAAGUCUUUGGAUGAGCUGUGGGUAGGGGUGAAAGGCCAAUCAAACUGGGAAAUAGCUCGUACUCCCCGAAAUGCAUUUAGGUGCAGCCUUGAGAGCAGUGUUACAGAGGUAGAGCUACUGACUGGGCUAGGGGGCUUCACCGCCUACCAACCCCUGACAAACUCCGAAUGCUGUAACAUGGUCCUCAGGAGUGAGGGCAUGGGUGCUAAGGUCCAUGUCCGAGAGGGAAAGAACCCGGACCAUCAGCUAAGGUCCCCAAAUAUACGCUAAGUUGACCAAACGUUGUGCGACUGCUUUGACAGCUAGGAUGUUGGCUUGGAAGCAGCCAUUCAUUUAAAGAGUGCGUAACAGCUCACUAGUCGAGCGGUUGUGCGUGGAUGAUACUCGGGCAUAAGCGUAUUACCGAAGCUAUGGAAUUAGCAUUAAGUGCUAAUUGGUAGGGGAGCAUUCCAGCAUUGCCGAAGCGGUAAGGCGAUUUACCGUGGAGAUUCUGGAAAAGCAAAUGUAGGCAUAAGUAACGAUAAAGCGGGUGAGAAACCCGCUCACCGAUAGACUAAGGAUUCCACGGCCAUGCUAAUCAGCCGUGGGUUAGUCGGGACCUAAGGCGAACCCGAAAGGGGCAGUCGAUGGAUAAUCGGUUAAUAUUCCGAUACCGCAUUUAGCUGCGAUGGAGUGACGAAGUAGUGACAUAUCCGCGUACUGACGGAAUAGUACGUUAAAGGGGGUAGAUUACGGACAGGUUAAGAGCUUGUCCGGUUCGAGCCUGACAGUACCAUGAGCCUUCGGGUGAAUGGAUAGUGAUAGUAAUCAGACUUCCAAGAAAAGCUUCUAAGCUAUAGGCUGAAUGCGCCCGUACCGCAAACCGACACAGGUAGUCAAGGAGAGAAUCCUGAGGUGCUCGAGUGAUUCGUGGCUAAGGAACUAGGCAAAAUAACCCCGUAACUUAGGGAGAAGGGGAUCCAUGCUCCGGUGUGGACGCAGAGAAAUGGCCCAGGCGACUGUUUAUCAAAAACACAUGGCUUUGCAAAAUUGAAAGAUGAAGUAUAAGGCCUGACACCUGCCCGGUGCCGGAAGGUUAAGAGGGGAUGUUAUUCGCAAGAAGAAGCAUUGAAUUGAAGCCCCGGUAAACGGCGGCCGUAACUAUAACGGUCCUAAGGUAGCGAAAUUCCUUGUCGGGUAAGUUCCGACCUGCACGAAU
rnacentral:rRNA from 1 species